rnacentral:rRNA from 1 species
UAGGGAAUCUUCCACAAUGGACGCAAGUCUGAUGGAGCAACGCCGCGUGAGUGAAGAAGGCUUUCGGGUCGUAAAACUCUGUUGUUGGAGAAGAAUGGUCGGCAGAGUAACCGUUGUCGGCGUGACGGUAUCCAACCAGAAAGCCACGGCUAACUACGUGCCAGCAGCCGCGGUAAUACGUAGGUGGCAAGCGUUAUCCGGAUUUAUUGGGCGUAAAGCGAGCGCAGGCGGUUUUUUAAGUCUGAUGUGAAAGCCCUCGGCUUAACCGAGGAAGCGCAUCGGAAACUGGGAAACUUGAGUGCAGAAGAGGACAGUGGAACUCCAUGUGUAGCGGUGAAAUGCGUAGAUAUAUGGAAGAACACCAGUGGCGGAGGCGGCUGUCUGGUCUGUAACUGACGCUGAGGCUCGAAAGCAUGGGUAGCGAACAGGAUUAGAUACCCUGGUAGUCCAUGCCGUAAACGAUGAAUGCUAGGUG